CAAGUCGAGGGGUAACAGGUGAGCUUGCUCCCGCUGACGACCGGCGAAUGGGUGAGUAACGCGUAUCCAACCUGCCUCAUGCCCGUGGACAGCGGUUAGAAGUGAGGAUUAAUACACGAUAUGUAAGCCAGCCGCAUGACGGGCUUAUGAAACAGACAUGAGAUGGGGAUGCGUUGGAUUAGCUUGUUGGCGGGGUAACGGCCCACCAAGGCAUCGAUCCAUAGGGGUUCUGAGAGGAAGGUCCCCCACACUGGUACUGAGACACGGACCAGACUCCUACGGGAGGCAGCAGUGAGGAAUAUUGGUCAAUGGGCGAGAGCCUGAACCAGCCAAGUAGCGUGAAGGAUGACGGCCCUACGGGUUGUAAACUUCUUUUGCCGGGGGAUAAAAAACGGGACGUGUCCCGUCUUGCAGGUACCCGUGCGAAUAAGGACCGGCUAAUUCCGUGCCAGCAGCCGCGGUAAUACGGAAGGUCCGGGCGUUAUCCGGAUUUAUUGGGUUUAAAGGGAGCGUAGGCCGUGUUUUAAGCGUGUUGUGAAAUGUAGGCGCCCAACGUCUGCACUGCAGCGCGAACUGGAGCACUUGAGUACGCAGGAAGUAGGCGGAAUUCGUCGUGUAGCGGUGAAAUGCUUAGAUAUGACGAAGAACUCCGAUUGCGAAGGCAGCUUACUGUAGCGCCACUGACGCUGAUGCUCGAAAGCGUGGGUAUCGAACAGGAUUAGAUACCCUGGUAGUCCACGCGGUAAACGAUGGAUGCUCGCUGUAUGCCAUUAUGGUAUGUGGCCAAGGGAAACCAUUAAGCAUCCCACCUGGGGAGUACGCCGGCAACGGUGAAACUCAAAGGAAUUGACGGGGGCCCGCACAAGCGGAGGAACAUGUGGUUUAAUUCGAUGAUACGCGAGGAACCUUACCCGGGCUUGAACUGCCAGUGAACGAUUCAGAGAUGAAGAGGUCCUUCGGGACGCUGGUGGAGGUGCUGCAUGGUUGUCGUCAGCUCGUGCCGUGAGGUGUCGGCUUAAGUGCCAUAACGAGCGCAACCCCUUUCAUUAGUUGCCAUCAGGUCAAGCUGGGCACUCUGGUGAUACUGCCACCGUAAGGUGUGAGGAAGGUGGGGAUGACGUCAAAUCAGCACGGCCCUUACGUCCGGGGCUACACACGUGUUACAAUGGUGCAUACAGAGAGUCGGCUCUGCGCAAGUAGAGUCCAAUCAAGAAAGUGCAUCGUAGUUCGGACUGGGGUCUGCAACCCGACCCCACGAAGCUGGAUUCGCUAGUAAUCGCGCAUCAGCCAUGGCGCGGUGAUACGUUCCCGGGCAUUUACACACCGCCCGUACANGGCGCUUCGCGCCGAAACUUCAGACAAAAUCUGG
rnacentral:rRNA from 1 species